UUGGGCGAGCAGAGAAGAUGGAAUAUAAGGGAAGAAGAGAUAAAAGUAAGAAGAAGAUUGAAAAGAAAUACAGAAUAUAAAAAGGAAGAAGCCGUCGUUGGAAGAGGGAGAGAGCGACGCAAGUCGCAAGCCGGCAGCAAGGCUUGGUGGAGGCCGGCCAACGGUGCAGCCGUCGUGCGGUGCAGCAGUAGCGGCGCAAGGCAGGCGAGGCGACGGCAGUCCGUUGGAGCAGCCAGGAUUCAAAUCUGUUUCAGAUCUCGGUAUCAGAUCUGGACAGGGGAGAAUUUUAUUUAUUUUAAUUUAGCUUCUUGAAUGCUUUGAAUUUAAUUUUGACUUGCUAAAUUAUUAAGCUAGGGUUUAGAUGUAAUUUAAUUUUUGGAUUAUGUGAUUGAUUGUUUUUUAGUUCAAUUUAAGACUUAAUUAUUAAUUACACGAUGAAUUUAUAUUAUUGAACUUAAUACUUCAAAGCUUAGGCAUCUUUUGGAUGAUUUUUGAUUUGUGCAUGUACUUAAGAAAUAAUUGCAUGAAUUAGACUAAGGAUAAUAUGAACCAUGUGUUAGACUAUGAGAUCGAGAGAUAAUUAGCAUCGCAUGUGGUAAUUGAGGAAGAGAAGAGAGUUAAGAGGUCCCCUUUCUUAAAUUAGAGGUUUCCAUAAAACUUAAUGCUCUCUUACUUGUUUAAAAUUACAGAGAUAUGAUUAAUUUAAUAAACAAAGGUAAGAUUAACUUGACUUGAGAGAGAUAGUUAAUUAGUUAAGGGAAAUUCGUCAUCUCAUGUAAUAAUAACUAAUAAUAUGCCCUAGGUCUUAUUGGUCUUAGAUUGAAUUAAUUUAUCAAUUGCAUAACCUAGAUUAAAUGCAAUAUAAAUCCCAGUGUCGUGAAAUUCCUUUAAAUUAACUAAUUUAAUUCACUUAAUUAAUUAGUUAAUUCAACUUAGGUUAGAUUAAAAUUGUCUUGGUAGUGUAGAAUAGUUCUCAUGGGAGCGAUACUCUACUCAUUUUAUACUGUAUAAUCAAUUAGAUUCAUUUGCCUAAACGUAGUGCAAAAUUUACACAUCAAGUUUUUGGCACCAUUACCGAGGACUAGUUAUCUACAUAUUAAGACUCGUAAUUUAGCUUUAGAUUGAAUUUUUAAUUUGUUUUGUUUAACCCCAGAUUUAUUUUGGAAUUUAAAUUGUUCUGUUUAUUCUAAAAUUUAUCCGUUUUCUGUUUUAUUAUUAUUCUUAUUAUUUUUAUAUCUAUUAGUGUUUUCUCAUAGCCGUGAGAGGUCUCAUGUUCUAUUCUUUUAGUCAACUACAUUUAAUUUGUUUUGUUCUUCAGUUUUUUUUUUUUUUUUUUUUGCAUAUUAUAUGACCUGUACGAGUGGUGAAAAUUUUGCACCAUUAGAUCCUAAAAUUGAGAGAACCCUUCACAAGGUAAAUAAAGAGAGAAAAUAAAAGAUGGCAAACACUGAAAGAGAUAACGUUAACCAUUCUUUGCUAAAAUAUGCUCAGCCUUCGGUCAAUGGGACAGUUUCAAGCAUACGGAGGCCGACCAUACAAGCAAAUAAUUUGAAAUUAAGCCAGCUAUCAUCCAGAUGAUUCAAACCUCAGUCCAGUUUAGUGGUUUAUCUAAUGAUGAUCCGAAUGCCCAUAUUGCUAAUUUUCUAGAGAUUUGUGAUACCUUUAAGCAUAAUGGUGUUUUAGAUGAUGCUAUAAGAUUGAGAUUGUUUCUUUUUUUCUUUGAGGGACAAGGCAAAAGGUUGGGUUAAUUCUUUACCUGCAGGGUCCAUUACAACUUGGAAAACCAUGGCACAACAAUUUUUAGCGAAAUUUAUUCCACCUUCUAAGAUUGUUAAAAUGCAUAAUGACAUCACUACUUUCGUACAGUUAGAGAUGGAAUCCUUGUAUGAGGCAUGGGAGAGAUUUAAAUAUUUUCUUAGGAAGUGCCCACAUCAUGGUUUACCUACACGGAUACAAGUGCAAACUUUCUAUAAUGGUAUAUCUCUUGCUCAUCAUUCUAUGAUUGAUGCAGUUGUAGGUGGUAUUAUCACGAGGACACCAAAAGAGGCAUGUAACUUACUAGAGGAGAUGGCUUCUAAUAGUUAUCAAUGUCAAACAAAUAGAUCAGUAGCUAGAGGCGUCCAUGGAGUAGAUACUUUUGCUGUGCUAUCUACUCAAAUGGAAGCACUCAACAAAAAGAUUGAUAGCAUGAGUGUAUCCGCUAUUCAAAGUGUAGCGUGCAAAUUGUGAAUUAUGUAAAGGAGGACAUGCCAGUAUUGAAUGUCAAGUAGAAAAUCCUUUUUCACAAUUAUCUGAGCAUGCUAUUUUUUUUGGUAAUUUUCACAGGCAACUGAAUUAUCCUUACUCUAACACGUACAAUCUUGGUAGGUGCAAUCACCCAAAUUUUUCAUAAAGCAAUCAAAAUCAAGUGAAGCUGCCACCUCCAGAGUUCCUACCUCAAGAUAAGAAGUCUAACUUGGAGGAGCUGAUGACCAAGUUUAUAACUAUUGCCGAGACUAGAUUCCAAAACCAAGAGGCUUCUAUUUGAAACUUGGAAGCACAAGUGGGGUAGUUAACUAACUUGAUGUCUAAAAGAGCACAUGGAUCUUUACCUAGCAACACAGAAAAAAAUCCCAAGGAACAAAUGCAAGCCAUAACUUUAAGAAAUGGUAUGGUGCUUAAAGAAGGAAGCUAAGGCUUGGUGAACCAAAGGCCACCACUGUAACUCUUCAAUUAGGAAAUAGGUCAAUUAAGCAUCCAAGAGGUAUAGUGGAGGAUGUAUUGGUAAAGGUUGACAAGUUUAUUUUUCUUGUAGAUUUUAUUGUACUAGACAUGGAAGAAGAUUAUGAGGUACCUCUCAUUCUAGGAAGUCCUUUCCUAGCUACAGGAAGAACAUUGAUUGAUGUUUAACAAGGGAAAUUUUAGAAUACGAGAUGAACAAGUCACUUUUAAUGUUUUUUAGGCCAUGAAACAUCCGUCGGAUGAUGAUACUUGUUUUAGAAUUGAUGACAUUGAUCAUGCUGUUAAUGAGUGUUUACAGGAAAAUAGGUAUGAAUACUCACUUGAAGCUUGCCUUGUGUAAUCAAAGGACACAAAGGAUGAGAAUGAUGACGCUAGAGAAAGUGCUAAUUACUUGCAGGCAAACCAAUUAUUCUUAAAAGGCAAAGGGCCGAGAUUUGUACUUUAGAGAGAUAACUAGUUCUCCGUCAAAACCUUCAAUUGAGGAGCCUCCAAAACUUGAACUUAAACCCUUACCUUCUCAUCUUAAGUAUGCAUUCUUAGAAAGUUCUUCUUCUUUACCUUUAAUAAUCUCUUCCUCUUUGACAAAGCUGAAGGGGGAAAAGCUUCUUAGAGUUUUGAGUAAGCACAACAAAGCAAUUGAAUGGAGCAUAGCAGACAUAAAAGAAAUUAGUCCUUUGAAGGUAAUCAAGUGUUUGAUAUAGGUAAACAACGAAGAUUUCAAUUGAAUGAAUUGGAGGAGCUAAGAAAUGAAGUUUAUGAAAGUGCCAGAAUUUAUACCACAAGAACCAAGGCAUUACAUGAUUUGCAUAUAAAGAAUAAGGAAUUUCAAUCCUUGAGAAUUGAGAAGUGAUAGUCAAGCUAUUAACUCUAAAGAAGCACUUGGUGGGAGGCAACCCAUUGUGUUUUUCUUUCUUUAAAUUCAGGUUUGAUUAUUAGCUUUAGUAAUUAUGUUGGUUUGCUACUUUUAAUUGUUUGCUUUGAGUUUGUUUUGUUUUUUAGGUCUUGUGGCUAUUAUAGAGCAUUCAGGAAGGGACACUUGUGACUACUAAGGAGCAUUCCAAGUUUCGCUAUGCCAAAUCAGGGAGUACUGUUUUGCUUUGUUCUUUACUUAUUUUCCACAUUGAGGACAAUGUUUAUCUUAAGUUUGGGGCAGGAAGUUCAUUUUUGCAUAGUUUUAUUUGUUAAUUUCUUUAUGCAUGGUUAUGGUAGAAUACUUUAAUGCUUAUGUUAUGAUGCAUAUGGUCAAUUCAAGUGAACGAUAUUGUUCUUGUUUGAUGACUGAUUCAAGAUGUAGCAAUAUCUUUUGCGAAGGAGUUGAAAGUUUUUUAUUAUUAUGAUUAUUGAAGUGUAUGUCUCCUUAAGAAGUUGUGUGAAUUUUGUGAUUAUGCAUGAUUGAAUGUUUGAUGUUUAUCUUGUUAAUUAUCCCUUGAAACUAGUCCUAAACAAAGAAAAGAAAAAGAACGAGCAAGGCUAAAUUUGUGUGCUUAUUGGUUUUGAUAUAUACCUACUCCAAUAUUUCAAGUUGCUUAGUAAUUGGAGAUUAGGCAUGACACCUAUGUCAAUUUUCACGUCAAACAAUGAGUUAAAAUAUGAGUGUGCAAAAGCACUCUAAUUAUAUGACUUGUUGAGUAAUCGGGUGUUUUUAUCACAAUUGUUAGUAUUCACAUCAAAAGACAAGUGAUAGUUUAGGGAAGUUGAAAAAAAUAAAAAAGAUUUUGGUUACUCAACAAGUCAUACACUUAGAUUGCUUUUGCACACUCAUAUGUGAAAGUUGACAUGGGUGUCAUGCCUAAUCUUCAUUUACUAAGCAACUAAAAACAUUAGAAUAGAUAUAUCAAAACCAACAAGCGCAUAUUUAGCCUCGCUCGUUCUUUUUCUUUUCUUUGUUUAGGACUAGCUUCAAGGGAUAAUUAACAAAAUAAGCAUAAAACAUUCAAUCAUGCAUAAUUACAAAAUUUACACUACUUAAGGAGGCAUACACUUCAAUAAUCAUAAUAAUAAAAAACAUUCAACUACUCUGCAUAAGAUAUUGCUACAUCUUGAAUCAAUCAUCAAACAAGAACAAUAUCGUUCACUUGAAUUGACUAUGCAUCAUAACAUAAGCAUUAAAGUAUUUAGCCAUAACCAUGCAUGAAAAAAUUAACAAAUAAAACUAUGCAAAAAUGAACUUUCUCCCCCAAACUUAAGAUGAACAUUGUCCUCAAUGUGAAAAUAAAUAAAGAACAAAGCAAAACAAUACUCCCCGAUUUGGCAUAGCCAAAACCUGGAAUGCUCCUUAGUAGUCACUAGUGUUCUAUCCUUGAAUGCUCUAUAGUAGCCACAAGACUGACAAAAUAAAACAACCUCAAAGCAAACUAUUAAAAGUAGCAAACCAACAUAAUUACUAAAGUUAAUGAUCAAACCUAAAUUUAAAAAAUGAAAAAUACAAUAGGUUACUUCCCACCAAGCGUUUCUUUAUAGUUAAUAGCUUGACUAUCAAUUCUCAAGGAUUGAAAUUCAUUUUUCUUUAUAUGUGAAUCAUGUCAUGCCUUGGUCUUGCAGUAUACAUUCUAGCACUCUCGAAAGCUUCAUUCCUUAACUCCUCCAAAUUAUUCAAUUGAAAUCUUUGUUGCUCACCUGUAUCAAACUACUUGAUUACCUUCGAAGGACUAAUUCCUUUUAUAUCUGCUAUGUUCCAUCCAAUUGUUUUUUUAUGCCUCCUCAAAAUUCUAAGAAGCUUUUCCUCCUUUGGCUAUUAUUACAAGUAAAGAAGAAAAACUUUAUAAGAAUGCAUACUUAAGAUGAGAGGGUAAAGGUUUAAGUUUUAGAGGCUCCUCAAUUGAAGGUGUUAUUGCUUGGUUAUAACAAUAGAUUUUUAACGUGGGAGUGAGAUGUGUGAGGUCCAACAAGUUUGAGGUGUUGUCUAGGUUUCAAAUGAUUUUGAGAGUUUCAAAUCUAGAUGUGAGUUAUCCUAAGGCUAUCUCCAGCAAAGUCAAUUUCAUCUCGCCAAAGCUAUUUUUGGUGAGAAUAUUAUUGAAAAUGAGCUCCAGUAAAGCUCGCUAUAGCUAUAUUUCCUUGCUAAAAAUUUGACAACUUUCAAAUGCCUCGUCAAUGUUGACGAGUGAAUUUUUCUCGCUAUAUCUCCCUCACCCCCAACUGCUGGCGGGAAGAGAAAACUAGACGAGGGAAGGGUGAAGAAAGUUGCAGGGCAGCGACGGCAGCAGGAGAUUCGGCGGCACACACCAGAUUCGGCGACGGUGGCAGUAGCAGAUCCAACUCCAGUGACGACAGCCACGAACUACAACAGCAAUGAGUAGCUUCAGCGUCUUCCUCAUGGAGUCUUCUUCACAACGUCUUCCUAGUGAUUUGUGAUUGCAUUUGUAUAUUUUGUAUAUUUUUUGUAUUAUUAUAUGAUUGAUAUUGAGUUGUGUAUUUUUUGUAUUUUUUUAUAUUGAUACCGAGUUCUUCACAGCAGCGACAGCGACAGUAUUAUUAUAUGAUUGAUAUUUUUUGUCUUCC